UACGUAGGGUGCGAGCGUUGUCCGGAUUUAUUGGGCGUAAAGAGCUCGUAGGCGGCUUGUUGCGUCGGCUGUGAAAACCCAUGGCUCAACCGUGGGCUUGCAGCCGAUACGGGCAGGCUAGAGUUCGGUAGGGGAGACUGGAAUUCCUGGUGUAGCGGUGAAAUGCGCAGAUAUCAGGAGGAACACCGGUGGCGAAGGCGGGUCUCUGGGCCGAUACUGACGCUGAGGAGCGAAAGCGUGGGGAGCGAACAGG
rnacentral:rRNA from 1 species